rnacentral:rRNA from 1 species
UAGGGAAUAUUGCUCAAUGGGCGAAAGCCUGAAGCAGCAACGCCGCGUGUGCGAUGAAGGUCUUCGGAUCGUAAAGCACUUUUCUGAGAGAUGAGAAAGGACAGUAUCUCAGGAAUAAGUCUCGGCUAACUACGUGCCAGCAGCCGCGGUAACACGUAGGAGGCGAGCGUUAUCCGGAUUCACUGGGCGUAAAGCGCGUGCAGGCGGUUUGGUAAGUUGGGCGUGAAAGCUCCCGGCUCAACUGGGAGAGGUCGUCCAAUACUACCAGACUUGAGAGCAGAAGAGGAAGAUGGAAUUCCCGGUGUAGUGGUGAAAUGCGUAGAUAUCGGGAGGAACACCAGUGGCGAAGGCGAUCUUCUGGUCUGUUUCUGACGCUCAGACGCGACAGCUAGGGUAGUAAACGGGAUUAGAGACCCCGGUAAUCCUAGCCGUAAACGAUGUGAACUUGGCGUUGGUGGCUUAAACACCAUCAGUGCCGAAGCAAACGCGAUAAGUUCACCGCCUGGGGACUACGGCCGCAAGGUUA